GACAGAGGUGCCGAGCGUUAGGCGGAAUCACUGGGCUUAAAGCGUGUGUAGGCGGACUUCUAAGUACCUUGUGAAAUCCCACGGCUCAACCGUGGAACUGCUUGGUAUACUGGUCGUCUUGAGCCACCUAGGGGCAACCGGAACAAACGGUGGAGCGGUGAAAUGCGUAGAUAUCGGAAGGAACACCUGUGGCGAAAGCGGCUCACUGGACCAUUACUGACGCUGAGACGCGAAAGCGUGGGGAGCGAACAGG
rnacentral:rRNA from 1 species